GACGAACCGUGCGAGCGUUGUUCGGAAUCACUGGGCUUAAAGGGCGCGUAGGCGGGCCGUCAAGUCCGGGGUGAAAGCCCCCAGCUCAACUGGGGAAGUGCCUCGGAUACUGCCGGCCUCGAGGGAGGUAGGGGCGUGCGGAACUUCCGGUGGAGCGGUGAAAUGCGUAGAGAUCGGAAAGAACACCAACGGCGAAAGCACUCUGCUGGGCCGACACUGACACUGAGAGACGAAAGCUAGGGGAGCGAAUGGG
rnacentral:rRNA from 1 species